rnacentral:rRNA from 1 species
ACCGGCCCAGAUAACGCUGGCGGCGUGCCUAAUACAUGCAAGUCGAGCGGACAGACAGGAGUGCUUGCACUCCUUGAAGUCAGCGGCGGACGGGUGAGUAACACGUGGGUAACCCACCCAGAAGACUGGGAGAACCUCGGGAAACCGGAGCUAAUACCGGACAAGAUGUUUCACCUCAUGGUGAAACAGUGAAAGACGGUUCGGCUGUCACUUAGAGAUGGACCCGCGGCGCAUUAGCUAGUUGGUGAGGUAACGGCUCACCAAGGCGACGAUGCGUAGCCGACCAGAGAGGGAGAGCGGCCACACUGGGACUGAGACACGGCCCAGACGCCUACGGGAGGCAGCAGUAGGGAAGCCUCCGCAAGGGACGAAAGUCUGACGGAGCAACGCCGCGUGAGUGAAGAAGGUUUUCGGAGCGUAAAACACAGUUGUAAGGGAAGAAC